rnacentral:lncRNA from 1 species
AAAAUAAUAAAAUAAAUCAUUCAUAAAAUUAAAAAAUAACUCUUAAUUAAAAAAAUAAACCUAACUAUCGAAAAAAAAACUUAAUUCAAUAAAAAAAAACCUCUCCAUAAACAAAUCUAUGAAACAUUGAAACCUUGAACCAUUUUGAAGAGGCAAGAGAAACCCAAAACCUUUCUCUAUUACUGAGCUUUGAAGAGGCACAGACUGUAUUUGGAAUCGAGAGAUUGAGGCGAAGCAAAGGUUAGUGUUUCGUUACAAAUCGACUGGAUAUUCUAAUAUUUUAGGUUUAAGUUUAUGAAAUUUGGUGUUUAACUUGAUUUUCAUAGCAAUAUUUAGGGUUUUGAAAUCCUAAAUUUUGAAAUUCAAAAUUGAAUCUAGUAUUUGGGUUAUUUGAGUUCAAAAGAGAGAAAAACUUAUAAUGGAGUGAAAUAAGGUUAGUCAAAUGUAUCAAAAAUGGAUUUCUUGAUCUUAAGAUAGGUUAUUUGUCUGCUCGUAAAAAAAUAAUGAAAAAAAUAAAGACGAUAAUCAAAUUCAAAUAUCUUUAUAAAACAUAUUACUUUAUGGGUUAGGUUGAAAAUUCAAAGACACCGUUUUUAGUUCUUAAAAGCCAAAGACGCUAUCUCCAUCUUCAAGUAAACUGAUUUAACAUCUUUUCAUUAUUGGUAUGUUUUCAUAAAAACUUUUUGUUAUGAGCAUAACAUGAAGUCACAUGAAUGUAUAUUAAGUCAUUACUCUUGGUCUAAUCCAGUCAAAUAAAUAUUUAUGAUACUCAAAGUUUAACAAAUACAAGUACAGAAAUCUAUGAAUAUGUGUUAUAGAGUCAUGAAAUGAACACCAUAUUCACAUACAUGUUUGGAUAAGUUGGAGUUGAGAGUGAUUGAUGUUUUGCUUAGUGGGCUUCUCAUAAAUGAGGAUUUAAUUUUUAUGUUUCUAUGAUGUGUUAACUGUUCUUAUCAUGAGUUGCUAAGAUGAUGUCUCUAUAUUUGACAUCUCUAGUAAUUGUUGAUUAUUUCUAACUUGCUUGAUUUUACUAAUAAAACCAUCUUUUGCUAAAAAAAUAUACAAAAUAGCUAAUACUAUGCUUUCUAACCUUUUUUUUUCUUUCUUGUAAAAUGUUAAGAGCAUAUAAAAAAAAUUAAAAGAAAAAGAGUUGCAUUAAGAGAACUUUGUAUUUUAUUUUCUGAUUUGAUCAUGUCAUUACCAUGCCUUAUACUUCACAUUAUCACAAAUAUGUUUACUCAUCUAUUUAACAAAGCAGAUUGACAUGUGUAAUGGCAACAACAAUUACAAGAUGUAAAGUUCCGUAUUGAUUAUUAUUGAUAUAAUCAUUUUGAUAUUUAUCUUUUUGUGACAAAUUUAAUAUAAAUAUAUUAGAUUCUAUAUAUUUUUAAUACAUUUGUAAUAUUUUAAAUUGCAUUGCCAAAAAUUAUACCAAAGUGAUAGUUAACCAAUAUGCUUGUAUCUUAUUGUCAACCGUUGUCACAAUAGCAAGAAGUUCCUAUACCAUAAACCAUAUUGUCAACCAAUGUGGUGCACACAAAAAAAAAGCAUAAUGUCAAUCAUAGUCAUUAUAGCAAAAGGUUUCCAUGAAAAAAAAUGAAAUAUGACAUGUCAUUUAGCAAAAGUGUCACUUCUUUAGUUGUUUCUGUGUAAUUGAUUCUUGAGUGCUAAAAUGGUCUUUAAUUUGUUUGCGUUUUUUGUUCAGGGAGUUAAUUUUCACCAGAGAGCCCAUAGUAGAUGUCCUACUGGAUUCAAGUGCCCUAAUAAUUUGUGAGUUGUUAUUCCUCUGUAGCAAGCAAAUGAAACAACUUAAUAUCCAAAUUGACGCAAUAAUUAUAUAAUAUCACAACAAAUAACAAUUACAACAACCUACAAAUAAUACAAAAAAUAAUAGUUUAAGCAACCAAUUUCAUAUUUAUUUAAUGACACAUAAAAUUAGAUUUACAAAAUUAUCAUUACUGAAUGUGUUACACCUUCAGCAUCAGCAGUUUCUAGUUGAUUGAUACUCUGUAGCAAACAAAAGAAAAAUUAAUUUAAUCAUCCAAAUAUCAAAUAAAAUCCUAAUUAUAAGUUUAAUAUUUACUAAAUUAUUUACGACUUCAGGCUCUGCAUUUUGCAAUUGAUGAGUCUGCAACAAAUAAAAAAUUUUAAUAUUUACUGAAAAAUUUGCUUCUUGAGGCUUUACAUUUAGUGGUUGAUGGGUCUGCAAGAAACAAAAGAAUAGCCUAUUUAAUCAACCAAUUUCUAUGUUUAUUAAAUAACACAUAAAAUAAAUAUUAUGAACCUUAAAUGACAGUUACCUCCUACGGACAUCUUUGUUUGUUAUGAGCCUCAAUUCCACAAACACUGCAUGUCAUUAUCAACCCAACCCUACUAAGUUGUCUUGGUCUUUUUUUCUUUGGUUCAUCUUUUGGGUUCCUCCUAUUUUUCUUUGGCCUUCCGGGCAUCUUUUUGUCAAUAGGUGGGAGAACAGGCUCAAUCCCAAACUUGACCCAUUCAUGUGCUCCAUUGAUAGGCUGCAGCGUAUAUACGUAUGCUUUCUCAUAGGUUUCUUUAUGGUAGAAUUGAUCCAAGUAGUCAUCUGGUUCACCACCCAUAUGCCAUAUGGCAGCGCAACCAUGUGGACAAGGCAAGCCAAUUAAUUCCCAACUCCUACAACUACAGGUUCUUUCUUCAAUGUUCACUGUGUAUUACUUUCUUCCCUUUUUCACCUCACAACCAUCAUCACCAUUCCAUACCAUCUACCAAUCAACACCAUCUCUUUUAUUUUGAUCAAAUUUCUUCUUCACUAAAGGACCAUAGUUUUGCUUCCAUUAUUUUGUAGAACUUUCGCAUCUCGACAAUUCUAGUUAUUAGCCUAACCCUGAUUUCUUCUAACAUUGUGAUUAUACUUUUGUACCUCACCUCUACAAUGCUAGAGUUGAAAGCUUCACAAAUAUUAUUGUCAACCAUGUCAAACUUACACUGGCAUCCAAAAACGGCCUUCGUCCAAUGUUUAGGAGACUUGGACAUCAACUCAUUCGCAACUUUUUCAUCUUUUUUCUUAAGAUUUUAAACUUCAUCUUCCCACUCCCUCUCUGUUGUGGCCUUCACAAUUUCCCAAAAAUCAAAUUCAUAAAACUUUGCUUUCUUCCUUCCAAACUAGUUGGCAAAAACAUGAUGUGCACAAUUUCUGUGCUCUAUUCUGGGCAAAACUUCAUCAAUUGCAAUCUUUAAACCCUACGCAAAUAAUUAAAAAAAUGUUAACAUAAUUGGAUAAAAAAUACAUAUAAAAGAAAAGCCUAUGAAAAUAUUGUCUUACCUUUUGUUUGUCACUAAUUAUUGUAUAUCCAAAGCCAUCUUCUAGGUCCAAAUCAAUAGCUAGUAGAUUUAAAAACCAUGCUCAUGAAUCUGUACAUUCACCCUCAACUAUAGCCCACGCAACUGGGUACAUCUGGUUUUUUACAUCUCUUCCAACUACUGUUAACAUUUCACUCUUGAAAUACCCUUUUAGAAAACAACCAUCUAAACCAAGGAUUGACCUACAUCCAACUUUCUAACCUUUCUUUAAAGAAUCAAAACAAGCAUAGAACCUUGUAAAAUAUGGGGAAGAAUCUAGAGUUACCCUAUGCAUUGCCAUUUUAAUUGUACUGUCUGGAUUCUUAACCCUCAACUCAUCUGCAUAAUCCCAUAACAUAGCAAAUUCUUCCUUGAAGCUCCCAGCCAACCUCUUGUUCACUCUUUUUUUGGCCCUUCUACACUUAGUAAGGUUCAUAUUCACAUGCAAAUCUGAAGCUACCCUUCAUUGAAUCUCCUUCAACUUCAUUUUUGGAUGGUCCCUUGUAGUUUCUUCAAAAUGGUUUGCAAUUAUAGCAACAUUAACCAUUUUGUUCUUGAAUCUCACACAACAAUUAUGCUCUUUGUGAAAGCUGCUCACCUGUAGACACUUUGAUCUCUUAUUGUAACUUGCAGAUAUUCUCCAAGGACAUUUCGCAAAGGUGAUGCACUUAACCCUGAUCCAUUUUGGUUCAUUUGUAACAAUUUUCAAUUCCCUUCUUGAAACCUUUGAAUAAUUUUGGAUGACAUCUUUGAAAGUUUCUCCAUCUCUAAAAAGCAUCCCUAAACAUAAUUUUGGAUUUUCAUAGUUUGGAUUGUACACCGAAAACUUCUUUCUUCUCCUUGCACCAUGCUCAUGUUUCUCCUCAGAACUAGACUCCACUAUACUACCAUGGUCAUUAGAUUCAAAGUAAUCUAUCUCAUAACCAUUUGCCUCUUGUGUACUUUUAUCAUGCCUUUCUUGGACUUCUACAUCCUCCCAAACAUCAUUUUCAAGUUCACAUGCCAUCCUCUCCCUAUUAGCAUCAAUGUUAUAAUUUUUUACAGAUUUUCCUCUAAAUCUUUUCAACUUAUCCCUAGCAGCUUGCAACAUCUCAUCCCCCUAACCAUUUGAAAGAUAUUUAACAUUAACCGUAUAAACUUCAUCAACAUAUUGCCAGUCAACAUCCUCCCUCUUACCAUCGGCCUCAAAAGCCCCUUGACCAACACCCUUACCAUCCUCCUCACAGUCCCCCUCAUUGGACCCUUCAAUAGCUCCCAAAACAACUCCCUCACCAGCUCCAAAAUCAUCAUUCUCAUAAACAUGUGAUGCAUUAUUGUCUUGUUCUACAAGUGGCUCAAUACCUAUAACACACAUCUGCAUGUAAAUUAAAUAACAAUUGAUGCUAUAUAAUGAAGCAACAAAUAAUAAUUAAAAAAACAACAACCAAUAAUAAUUAUUAAUUGAAGAACAAAUACAAGUAACCAAUAAUAAUUCCAAAAAUAUGUUGUUGUCCACAUUCGAAACAAAUUAACAACAAAUAAAUUCACAUGUUGUCACACUCUUUAACUAUAAUUAAAGAAAUACUCAUUAGUCACUGGAAUAUUAAGCUAUUGAAGAGUUUAAUUCAGCAUAUUCUAUUGAAGAGUUUAAUUUAGGUUAAUUCAUUUUACUUUGAAGAUAGAGAUGGUGUCUUUGGCUUUUAAGAACUAAAAACGGUGUCUUUAAAUUAUGUAUUGUAUUUGUUUAUGUUUAAAAUUACAAGAUUGAGCCUUUAGCUAAAAUGACAAGGUCAUUUUUUGAAUCUUAGAGUGUGUUUAGUUAGAUAGAAAAGUAGAGGGAUGGAAGGGAGUGGAAAAGUGGAAAGAAAACAAAUUUUGAGUAUACUUGGUAGAGAAAAGAGUGGGAGGAAAGAAAAUAAAAGAAAUGAUCAUUUUUCAUCCUAAUGAAAAAGUGAGAGGAGAGAAAAUAAGAGAGAUAGUAAUUUAGUUCAAAAUUAUACAUUUUUUCAAUGUUUUAUUUUAUUUUGUUUUGUUUUUCAACCUCGCAAACAGUGGAUGGAAAUAAAAUUAUUUUUUCUUUGAAUUCUUUCAUCUUUUCUACCAAGCACACUUGUAGGAUGAAAAAUUAUAUUUUCUAUCUUUCUAUUUUUCUACCUCUUCCAAUUUUCAUUUUUCUAUUUUCUUUCCACUUUACCAAGAAAAAUCUCAAUGUUUCAAGUUUGAGUCCUGUCAUGUGUAAAUUUUCUCUAAUGUUUAUGUUGAGUUUAAGUUCUAUGGAUAUAUUUUUAGUUUUUAGUAGGUUGUAAAACUUACGAGAUAGAAUUAAUGAGACAAAGGGUGUGUCUGUUUUACAAAAAAAUGACUUGUGGAAAAAUAUUUUAUGCAUUUUCCUAUGUUUGUUUCAUAGAAAACAAGUUGGCCAACAUAAAAUGACUACGUGUCAACUGAAAAUAAACUACUUUUCCUGUAAAUUGACUUACCCUUUUGAAAAAUGUAAGUCAUUUUCCGAAAAAGAGCUCAUCUAUUAAUAGUUUUAUUUUUAUAUAAAAAUUAACUUGAAUCAAGCUUAAUAUUAUUAUAUUAAUGAUAAAAAUUUUAAUUUUAAUUUUUUAAAAAUAUUUAAAAAAUUAUUAUUAUUAUUAUUAUAAUGUUCAAUAUUAUUAAAUUCAUUAUUAAAGUAUUUAUAUUUAAUAAAAUAAUAAGUUAUUAAUAUAAAUUAUUAUUUUAAUAAAUUAUGUAAUAUUACAAAUUUGUUUUAAUAAUAAGUUUUAACAAUAAUAAUUUCAAAUAAUUUUUUCCUAAUAUAUUAUUGAACAAUAUUUAUAUUAAUAUUUUAAUAAUAAAUAUAUAUUACAAUUUAUAAAUAUUUAAUAAUAAAUGUUUAUAGUAUAAAAUAUGAAUAUUUUAAUUAUAUAAAUAUGCGUAUUUGUUUAAAUUAUGCUUAGCUUCAUUUAUCUUUUUCAAUUCUGAUGUGUCAUUAUACACUCAUAUAUGUAAUACUAAUUUCCAAGGCCACGUGCGUUGCACCUGAAUAUAAGUGUUUAUACUUUUAUUAUUUAAUAAAAACAUUUAUUCCAUAAUCAUUAGAAAAAUAUAAAUUUAAAAACUAAAAUAUUGUUUUAAAUUUAAUAAUUUAAAUUAUAAUGAAAGUGCAAUGGGAUAUGAAUUACUUUAAUACUUAUUAUGAGUUUGAAUAAAGGUUAAAUAAUAAUUCUAUCUUAAAAAUUUAUAUAAAUAUCUUAAAGAUCAAUUUAAAAAAAAAAGUAUUCUAAAAUUGAGAUUAGAUUUUGACUUAAUUUACACGUAUACACUAAUAAUAUAUAAAACUAAGUUUUAAUAUUAAAAUUAUUGAAUUAACUAUUAAUUUUGAAAUUAAUAUUAAAACACUAAAUUCAAAUUUCUUUAGUUUUAUUAUUAAAAACUAUUUUUAACCUUUUAUAUUUAUUUUUUCUACUAUAAAAUCAAAUUAUAAUGUUAUUAAUUAAAAUUAAAUUCAAAUUGUAUUAAACAUAAUCAAAUCAAUAGAGUUGGCAAGGUACAUUGCACUUUUAAGAAAAGAAUGAGGUUUGAGCCUUAAAGAUACAUUGUUAGGAGAUAUAGUCACGAACCCCGAAUAUAGAUUAUAAAAUAGACAUGACAUGAAAAAUAAAAAUAAAAAUCAAAUUAAACUUUAUAAAUCUUAUUCAAAACUAACUUAUCUAAUUAGCAUAAGAUUAUCACAAUAUAUUUUUUAAUUUUUAUAAUAGUUUCAUUUCGUAAGUGAAACAACUAAUGAAAUUAUUAAAUUAUCAAAUAGUAUUACAAAAUAAAAAAUAAAAAAAAUUUGACUUCCUAAAAAAAAUAAAAUAAAAUCUAGUCUAAAAAUAAAUACUAAUAAUAGGUGGCAACUAUAAUGAGAAUUUUUAAAAUGAUAAUCAAAAUGAUCUUUGCCAUUGAAUCAAAAUAAAUAGUUUUAAGUCUUAUAUUUUGUAUUUACCUUACCUUACUAAAAUAAAACCAAGAACACCCAAUCUCUCUUCUUUUUUUCUUUCCAAUGUGUAAUUAUCAGGGUGAAAAAAAAAAGGGGAUAAUUUUUACUUUAGGAUUUAAUUUGUUUUUUCUUUUUGAGAAGAAAAUUAUAAUGGAAGUUAUUAAGAUUUUUUGAUUUCCCUUAAAAAAAUCAAUUUGUGUGACCAAAAUUUUCAUUCAAUAAAAACAAAUACAAAUACCUAAUAUCUAAAUUGAUUAAUCUUAGUAAUCCUAAUCUAUUGCUUUCCAUUCCAAUUUUUUCUCAAAAAAAAAAAAUUAAUAUGAAAGUAAAGAUUAUCCAAUUUUUUUUACACUAAGACUUCAAUUACACGGUUAAAAGAAAAAAUAAGGGAAAGAUUGAGUGUUGCUUAUUUUAUUUUCAUAAGAUAAAAUAAAUACAAAAUCUAAGAUUUAAAAUCAUUUAUUUUGAUCUAAUAGCUAAUAUCAUUUUAGUUUUCAUUACUCUCAUUUUAAAAGUCCUCGCUAUUACAAGUACUUUUUAAAUUUUUUAUUUUAAUCUUUUGCUUCAAUGUAUUAUUCUCGUCAUCAUCUUCUUUCUUAAUUUUCUUUUUCACUCUAUCAUAUUUGUCAUCAUCCUCGUCAUAAUCAUCAAUCAAUGUAAAUAAUUACUUUGAAGUUGUAAAUUAUCUAAACAAUUAUAAAAUUAUAAUAAUUUAUUGUUGUAAAUUGGAGGCUUUUAUGAAGUAACUUUAAAAUUAAUAACAACAUACAAUUAUAAAGUGAAACUUUCACAUUAGAUAAUAGAAUGAUACAGAAAACUAAAUUUAGUAUAAUAUGUAUAAAAACUAAAUUAUAAACGUGUGAUAAAAUAUAUCAUAAUUUUACCUAAAAAGAUCUUUCAAUUCUUUCAGGUUUGAAAUUUCUUCUUUGAAAAACUUAUUAAUACUAAUAAUCUUUAUUUUUUUUUUUGCAAUAUUAUUUAGAUGUUAUCUGUUUGAAAAUGUUUUAAGUGUCGAAUGUUAUUUAUAAUAGCAAAUCUUAAUUUUAAUUUUAUAUAAAUGUAACACUAAUUAAGUGAUAAUUAAUUUAAAAUAAUAUAUAUUAUUAAUAAUUAAUUAAUAUACUCAAUUGUAAAAAUUCAAUGCAAAAAAUAAAAAUUAUUAUUAAUAUGAUUUUAUAUAUGAUUAAUAAUUAAUUAAUAUAUUCGAUUCUAUAGUUAAAGUUUACAUUAAGGGCACGUUUGGUUCGCUGUAUUGAAUUAGAGGUGUAUUGGAUUAGAGGUGUAAUGGAAUAGAGGUGUAAUAGCAAAUCAACUGUUUGGUUGAAUGUAAUGGAAUAGAGGCGUAAUAGUAAUCCUGUGUUUGGUUGAAUGUAAUAGAGGUGUAAUAGCAUAAUGGAAAAAAUUAAAAUGACUAGAAUACCCUUAGCAGAAAUUUGUUUAGGUAAAUGAUUAUUGUUAUUGUUAUUAAAUUUUAAUAAGAUUAUUAAUAUCAAUAAUAAAUAAUUUAAUCAUAUUUUAACAUAAUUAUUAUUAAAUAUAUUUUAAUUAAAAUAUAUAAUUUAAUAAAAUUCUUAAUAAUUAGCAGAAAUUUGUUUUGGUAAAUUAUUUUAUUUAAAUUUUAAUAAGAUUAUUAAUAUCAAUAAUAAAUAAUUUAAUCAUAUUUAAACAUAAUUAUUAUUAAAUAUAUUAUAAUUAAAAUAUAUAAUUUAAUAAAAUUCUUAAUAAUUAAUAUUCUUAUAUGAAUUUACUCAAACCAUAAUAUAUGAUACUAUAAAAUAUAAAUUAACAUAAUUAUUAUUAAAUAUAUUAUAAUUAAAAUAUAUAAUUUAAUAAAAUUCUUAAUAAUUAAUAUUCUUAUAUGAAUUUACUCAAAUCAUAAUAUAUGAUACUAUAAAAUAAAAUUUGAAAUAAUUAAUAUUAAAUAUAUUUUAAUUAAAAUAUAUGAUUUAAUAAAAUUUAAAAUAAUUAUAACUAAUAAAUUAUAUUUUAUGAAUUUGUAUAAUUUAAAAUAAUUAUUAUUACAUUUAAUUUAAUAAUAAUAUAUAAUUUUAUAAAAUUCUUGAUAAUAAAUUUUCUUAUAUGAAUUUAUACAAUUUAAAAUAAUUAAUAUUAAAUAUAAUUUAAUAGUGAUAUUUAAUUUCAUAAAAUUCUUAAUAAUAAAAUGGUAUUAUAUGAAUUUACUAAAAUCAAUAUAUAACUUGAACAUAAUUAACUUGUAUUAAGAAAAGGUUAGAUGAAAAUGAAAUUGUACAUUAUAAUCCAUAUGUUAUAUAGUUUUAUAUCAUCAAAAAGUUUGAACAUUGAUAUUUAAUGGUAAGAAAGAAAUUUUCUAACUCAUUCCAAUCGGGCAACAGAAGGUAAACUAAAGAAAACGAUCAUUUGAGUUGGAUGAUCGGGAAUUUUACUCAAAGCAUCAUACUGCUGAUCGUCGGUUAAACCUUCAAUUGACCAUAAGGUUGAAUAUAAAUUUGAAGCUCUCUCUUCCAUAUUUUGAUGUUCUUCUGACUUCUGCUGAACUACCACUUCGGAGGCAAUACUCCUAUUGAUUUGCUCGCCAACGGCCUGGAUUUUGUCCCCCAACAAAGUGGCAGCCUUAUUAAAUGAAGAAAACACAUUAUCACGAGCAUCAGAUUUCUUCUUUCUCUUAUUUGAAGAUGAGGAACCCCUUUGGUCUCUAUCUCCUCGCGGAUCCGUACCAGAAACAUCCAUGUCGUCUAAAGAGACGUCAGCUUCGCAGUCAUAGAAUGUGUUUCUCUCUUCAUUCAUAUCUGUAGUACGUACAUCAUCAGCAUGUAUUUCUUCAAGAACAUCAGCAGCUGUUUGAGUAUCUUUCCCAGUUGCUCGAUCUCUUGCGUAUAUGGUAGUAAGCUGGUCAUAGUAAGGAAAAGUACGAAAUCUGAAUUGAGCGGCUUCUUUGUGACUCUAAAAAAAUGAGGAAAUCAUAUUAGUCAUAAGUUUGGUAAAAAUAAUAUAAUAAAAACUUGAAAUAAUCUUACCUUUAAAUAGGACUCCCAAACCGCAUCUUCAGCAACGAGCUGUCUAUGCUCGUCCCAACCAAAACCGCUAUUGUUUUGACCAUUAAGCAUGUCGUAGACGAUUGACCACUUCCUUUUAAGUAAUCUAAUCCUUGAUUCAAUAUUAGGUUUUGCCUUCAACAUUGCAUUUGGUAAAGCCGUUUGUAGCAUUCUUUCUAACUCGUUCAAAUAACCGGCUUUGAACCCGGUAUCAGCAUUAAAUGUUCCAACAUUGUGCAGGUCCACCAUGAAGGAAACUAAUGCUGCAUCUUCCUCGGGAACCCAUUUUCUUUUGGCUCCUCGAGAAGCUUGAGAAGAAGCAUUUGAUUCGGAACACCUAACAUAAUGAUCUUAAGAACAAAAAAAAAACAAAUUAUAUUAAUUACUAUUUUAAUAUCAUGAUUCAAAAGGUCAACACUUUAUAAAAUCUAAGGAAUUAAGUUGAAUAUCAUGAAUCAAAAGCUCCAUACCACAAAAAAUUUAAAAUUAUAACACAUGCUGAAUUAGAAGAAAUUAUAUUAUAAUUCAACAAGUUUAGUACAAUACAAAAAUCAAUACAAAAGUUUCACAAACUAAUUUCUAGAUGCUUGUCAUUCAUCGAACAUUUGGUUGGCUAGUUCCAUCCUCCAAGUAGCCCAAGCAUCUGAUGGAUGAAUAUUUGUGAUAUUCGGUUCAUUGUCAUCCACCACAUUAAUUGUAGGUAAUCCUUCUCCCACAUCCGCUUCAAUGGGAUCAAUACUCAUAUGGGUUCGAAUAAAAUUAUGGAGCAAACAACAUGCAAUAAUAAUUCUAUUGUGCACCCUUAUAGGAUAGAACGAUGGACUCCUAAGUAUUCUCCAUCUAAGUUUUAAUAAGCCAAAGCAUCUUUCAAUAACAUUACGUGCUGAGGCAUGUUUCAUAUUAAAAAACUCUUGCGGAGAACUUGGCUGAUAACCCUGACGCCACUCGUUUAAAUGAUAUCGCUGUCCUCUAAAUGGUGCAAGAAAUCCAUCACAAUUUGUGUAUCCAACAUCAACUAGAUAAUAACCUAUAAAAUAAAUUUUUUAACAAAAAUGAUUAAUUCAGCACACAAAGUUUGAUCUUAAUGUCACGAAUUCAAAGUCCUCUAACUAUACACUUUACCAUGAGGAACUUUUAAUCCAUGUCUUCUACUAAUGGCAUCUCGAAGAACCUGUCCAUCGGCAACUGAACCUUCCCAACCAGGAAGAACAUAAACAAAUUGCAUCUCAAGUACAAACACCUAGCAUAUUUGUUGCUAUGUAACCUUUUCGCGUUCGAUAUCUAGGUUUAUCAAUUGUUGGAACCCUAAUCUUGAUGUAGGUUUCAUCAAGAGCACCUAAGCAAUUCUAUAUCACAUGAUAUAAAACCUUGAGUUAGAAUAUUAAUUUAAAUCUAAAUCAAGUAAAUGUUGUUGAAGUUAUAUAUAAAAUUCAGUCCAAUACCUUAAACCAUUUUCACCUUGUGUCAGAAGAAUUGGCUGUAAUUGGCUCCGGCUUUUUAAAUAACACAUCUUGCAAGCGUAUGACAGCAUUUAAAACACUAUGAAAUGCUCUGCUAACAGUUUUCCCGGACCUUCUAAAGUGAUGCUUGAUAACCCGAUUUUUCAGGUGAUGGGAGAUGAUAUGUAAAAACAUUGCUACUUGCUCGUCAACAAGCAUGAAUCUUGUCGACUUCAAUCCCCCUAUCGAUUCUAAAGCAGCUCUAUUCAUCCUAACUUGUUCAAUACAGGUCUCAUCACUAGCAUAUACAAGCCUCUUCACAUAAUCCCGUUUUGCAUAAAAAUCUACGGUAUAGGACCUAAUCCUUGGUCUAUGUAAGCUAAGGAUGACACCCAUUCUAAAUAAGAACCAAAUCGCCAUUCUAUAGAUUUUCAACCAUAUUGUCACAGCAAUACUAAUUCUUUUACGCCUCACACUUUGUGCAAUUAAAGGCAGACGAGCCAUUACUGCAACAUUUUAAAUUUAGAACACACUAUCAAAGAAUUGAAGUUGCAAUUACACAUUAUCAAAUAAAAAUAAACAGCACAAAUUUAGAACACACGAAGCAAAA